AACGAACGCUGGCGGCGUGCCUAACACAUGCAAGUCGAACGAGAAAGGGGCUUCGGCUCCGAGUAAAGUGGCGCACGGGUGAGUAACACGUGGGUAACCUGCCUCUAAGAUUGGGAUAACUCGUCGAAAGAUGAGCUAGUACCGGACAAGACCACAGUUCCCGCGGGAACAGGGGUCAAAGGUAGCCUCUGCUUGCAAGCUAUCACUUAGAGAUGGGCCUGCGCACCAUUAGCUAGUUGGUAGGGUAACGGCCUACCAAGGCAAAGAUGGUUAGCUGGUCUGAGAGGAUGAUCAGCCACACUGGAACUGAGACACGGUCCAGACUCCUACGGGAGGCAGCAGUGGGGAAUAUUGCGCAAUGGGCGAAAGCUUGACGCAGCAACGCCGCGUGAGUGAUGAAGGCCUUCGGGUCGUAAAGCUCUGUCGGGAGGAACGAAUGCUCCCAAGGUUAACAGCCUCGGGAGGUGACGGUACCUUCAAAGGAAGCACCGGCUAACUCUGUGCCAGCCGCCGCCGUAAAAC
rnacentral:rRNA from 1 species